CCUACGGGAGGCAGCAGUGAGGAAUAUUGGUCAAUGGCCGGAAGGCUGAACCAGCCAUGCCGCGUGAAGGGCAGGGGCCUAGGGGCGUUAAACUUCUUUUGUGCGGGAGCAAGAAUGGUCACGUGUGGCCAGACGAGAGUACCGUACGAAGAAGCAGCGGCUAACUCCGUGCCAGCAGCCGCGGUAAGACGGGGGAUGCAAGCGUUAUCCGGAUUUAUGGGGUUUAAAGGGUGCGUAGGCUGUGAGGUAAGUCAGCGGUGAAAUGCCCCCGCUCAACUGGGUGAAGUGCCAUUGAUACUGCCUUGCUGGACUGCGGAUGCCGUGGGAGGAAUGUGUUGUGUAGCGG
rnacentral:rRNA from 1 species